GACGAACGCUGGCGGCGUGCUUAACACAUGCAAGUCGAACGGAAAGGCCCUGCUUUUGUGGGGUGCUCGAGUGGCGAACGGGUGAGUAACACGUGAGUAACCUGCCCUUGACUUUGGGAUAACUUCAGGAAACUGGGGCUCAUACCGGAUAUGAGCUCCUGCUGCAUGGUGGGGGUUGGAAAGUUUCGGCGGUUGGGGAUGGACUCGCGGCUUAUCAGCUUGUUGGUGUGGUAGUGGCUUACCAAGGCUUUGACGGGUAGCCGGCCUGAGAGGGUGACCGGCCACAUUGGGACUGAGAUACGGCCCAGACUCCUACGGGAGGCAGCAGUGGGGAAUAUUGCACAAUGGGCGGAAGCCUGAUGCAGCAACGCCGCGUGCGGGAUGACGGCCUUCGGGUUGUAAACCGCUUUCGCCUGUGACGAAGCGUGAGUGACGGUAAUGGGUAAAGAAGCACCGGCUAACUACGUG
rnacentral:rRNA from 1 species